UACCAAUCCAGCGAAUAGCUCUCCCCCCUCCCCUCCCCUCCCCCCACCCUCGACGCCCGGCUGCCGUGCCUCUGUCGGGUGGGGGGUAGAAACGGAAGGAGUGGGCCGGUGAGGAGAUCCAGAUGCGGCUAGCGAUGGCGCCGUCCGUCAGUCCGUGUCCCUCAGCCACCGUUGGCGACCUGGACACUUGGACAGGGAGAUGGAUGCACAGGAAGGCCAAGCAUACAGGUUUUGGCAGAGGCGGCCGCUUCGCCGCCGGCCAGCACGCGGGCCACACCACGGAGUCGCUCUCCUGGCACUACUAGAUCAGAGGCUCUGAUGCUAGCACUUUCACCAGAUGAGUCCGAGAAAUCGCACUGGAUGUUGCUAGCAGUAAUUUCUAGAUGUUGCUGCCAGAUCCGAGAGUAUUGUUUUCGCAGUAGCUGUUAACCAGGUAUAUUCCAUUUCUGUAAUCUUUCAUUGACUUUUUGUCGAUCUUGAUAUGCUGUUAAAGCUUGAAACAAGAGUGCUUCUGGCUACUAGUCUGUGACUUAUCACAUGAUCUGGGCUUCGCAUCUUUUCCGGGCAAAUCUCAGAUAUCCAAUAGAUUAUUUUUGUAAUAAUAGGGCAGGUCAGAAGAGUUCACUACAUAAGAAUAUAACUGACUGGACGGCAAGUAUUUUGUCGCCCACCUUCCCACGCCUCUUUUGAAACCUUCACAUAUUCUUCCGGUUGUAUGAAACAAAGACUAGAUCAUUCAGCCUUUUCCAUUGUAACCUAUUCCUUGUCUUUGUAUGAAUCUACAAAAUACAAGCAGCAAAGCUAAGGAGUAAAUAACUUGCUGAAAUUACCAUUGAACAAACACAAAUAGAGCUUUACUAGUUGACUUACAAAUUCAAACGUGCUCCAAUUCCUCUCACAACCAGAUGAUGAAGCACAAAGACUAACAAUGCACUUUGCAAACCUUUGUAGGUUUUAUGUUUUCAUACCCGCGUCUGUGCUCUUCGACAUUUAUUUCUUUAUGUCACCGUUUUAUUUUCUAAAAAUACUAGCCCAUUCUGACAGUUCAGACUUCCACCAUAGUCAAACCAUUAACUGGCAGGCCUACUACAAACUAACAGGUUAUAAAUUAUAAACAAAUCUUCCUCUGUAAUUUUUAAGUUAUAGCUUGUUAGACUUCUUCUCUCUCCUAGUUCAUAUUUAUUCAGAGUGGAAAGUAUAUAUCCUGAAACAUUAAGGUGGCUACCUGCAAACCAUUUUGUGUGAAAUUGUGGAUACAACAUGUUGAUUUGAUAUCCAAACAGUGAUUUAUAUGAUUGUUCUCAGCUAUUAGUUUGACCUUUAUAUCUCCUUAUUUUUAUUAAGCGUUUCUUGUAAUUGUAUGCAACUUGCAUUGGUUUUUUCUUACACACACACCCUACAUGUUCCUGGUUGCCCACUGGACACACAUCAUAUAUUAUCACGCUAUUUGGAGUGCUAUUGUUUGAACUUGGAAGUGCACGAAAUGUAUCACGUAUCUCAUUACUUUUUAAUAUUAUCUGUACAAAUCAGAGUCUCUGAUCACUGUCACCAAACGAGCCCCAGAAAUCGCACUGGAUGUUGCUAGCAAUAUCUUCUGGAUGUUGCCAGAUCAGAGUAUUGUUUUCGUAGUAGCUGUAAACAAGGUCAAGGCACAAGAGUUCACUACAUAAGAAUAUAACUGAUUGGACGACAUGUCUAACGUGGAUUACCAUGGGUGGGAAGGAAUUAACCAUGCACUAAUUGGUUACAACCACAGGCAGCCCUCCCUUUAGUAAUAAUACCAUUGUUUCCUAUUUCAUUUGGAACAUCAACGUCAUUGGAUCCACAGCUUGACCACUGGCUAGCUGUGCAUGAGUGAAGGUAUUGCUUGAUGAUAGAGGGACCGAGCCCCUGUAUAGAUACCUGAGCUCGUUGCAUCAACCUUGUUUGAGUUCUGGCCCCAACACAUUUACAAAAAUAAACUAUAAAUGGCCAGCAACUGCUGCCGCCUGUUGGGAGCUUAUGAAAGGAUUUUGACAUGGAUCACUCUUUCUUCCUUUCACAAGAAUGAUUUUAACCAUGCUGACUUUUCUGGUACUGAAGACUGAAGAGUUAACUUUGAUAGCUCUCGGUACAAUUGACACGGUUAAGUGUCAAGCUCGCGCUCCGUCACUUAGAGCUGCAUGGUGAGCCAUACUCCUUCCUUCAGUGUUGGAUGAUACACGACUAGCAACUCAGCCCUGUUCCAAGGCUCGUUCUGCCCCAGCAAUCCAGCAUUGGAAGCUUACUGAGAAGUCAUGGGUGCCUAGCCCAUCAAAUUCUUCACCUUGCUGGUGUGCCAAAACUGCUACUAGAGUGCUGCACUUGCUCGCAUGUAUGCUACCGGAAAUGAUGCACUCGUUCUUGUUCUCAAGGCAGACUUGGUUUUGUCCUGGAUACACCCGUCCUGAGUGACACCACAAUUGAUUGACAUAGAUGAAAUGGAGGGAGUAUUAGGUUGCAAUUGACCAUAAUUCUUUUUUCCGACAAGGAUUAGUGUCGAGCAAGGUUGCGUUUGUAGUUCAUUUAUAUAGUUACCUACCUCUUCCAUCCAUGCUAUUUGCUGUUCCCAUUUGGCCUGGAGGCUUGGGAUUUGUAUGUGCGCACGCGUGCACGCAUACAUACACCUGCUGUUCCCUCAUCUAUGUUGAAAAAUGUACUCAUUGUGCAUCCACUUGUUGCAUUGCUCACCUGCUCAGCCGGCAUACACAAAAUUUACAUGCUAGUAGCCAGAGGCUAGUAGCAUACACAACAUAUCUAAUAAAUUAUAUAUGGUUUUAGUAGGCCACUGUGUAUAAUACACAACAUUUCCAUGCCAGACACAAUUAUACGAGUUAGGUCACACGCAAGAAAAAGAAAAUGA